UACAGAGGGGGCAAGCGUUGUUCGGAAUUACUGGGCGUAAAGGGCGCGUAGGCGGCCUACUAAGUCAGACGUGAAAUCCCCCGGCUUAACCUGGGAACUGCGUCUGAUACUGGAAGGCUUGAGUAUGGGAGAGGGAUGUAGAAUUCCAGGUGUAGCGGUGAAAUGCGUAGAUAUCUGGAGGAAUACCGGUGGCGAAGGCGGCAUCCUGGACCGACACUGACGCUGAGGGGCGAAAGCUAGGGGAGCAAACGGG
rnacentral:rRNA from 1 species